GAUGAAGAACGUAGUGAAAUGCGAUAAUUAAUGUGAAUUGCAGAAUUCCGUGAAUCAUCGAGUCUUUGAAUGCACAUUGCGCCUCAUGGCAUUCCGUGAGGCAUGCCCAUCUCAGCGUUAGAAAAUAUUCUCAAAUUUUAGUUUUGUGCUAAAAUUUGGAUCAUGUCAAAGAAGCUAUUACUAUUAUUGUGAUCGCUCUUUGGAAAUUGAUAGGUCUUUGAGUUGUUACUCAUAGAACGUGAUGAAUCUUUCUUCGUUCUAUUGUAAUUCACUCUGGUAGUCCUAAAACUUGUAUGCCUGUGGCAUAUCUUGUAAUUUGACCUGAGAUUGGGUAGGGAUACCCGCUGAACUUAAGCAUAUCAAUAAGCGGAGGA
rnacentral:misc_RNA from 1 species